rnacentral:lncRNA from 1 species
GCAAGUCUCGCUGCAGUACGUCACUGAUAAAGGUCUCGUACCGCAGCACUUUCUCCCCCACCGUAUCCAAGGCCCGCCGUUUCGGGGGCGUCGCCAUGACGGGCACCUGGGGGAGUAAAGGGGGGGGCACGUUGAGCGCUCUAUUUAAACUUCACAAAAUUCUCUCCAGCCACUCAACGUUGGGGAUGACUUCUUUCGGCUCGAGCUACGGAGUUGCUUCUGCCCAACCCGAUUUUGGAACUCGUUCACUCACCGGUACAGGAGUACGGCGUUUACCGUAGGGCCACCGGCAAUAACUGCCAGAAGAAGUUGUGGGAUUCCCUGGAACUGGAGCAACCAACAGUUUGUGUGCACCAUGUGGGUAAUGGGAAUCGAACCUGGGUCCUCUAUAAGACUGGCCAGUGCUCUUAACUACUGAGGUGCAUUUCUUUCGGAAUUGAUUCACAUAACUAUUAUGCUAUACUGUUUGAAGUAUUUAUUAGAAAAACAUCAGAAAGAGAUUUGGACCACUUUCAUUUACAUGAAGAAAUAUCUUAGGGUUUCUUUUCAGGUAUCUUUGAGUAUCUUCUGACACUAGAAGAUCCUGUAAACUCUACAGACUUCAACAGAAUUGAAGAACCUGGACAGAGCAGAGUUACCAACAAGAGAGCCCAGGGAUAGCAUUAACAUGGUGGUUACUCAAGACCUAACUCAGCCAGGGAGACAUACCAAGGCCUAUGAGGUGAAGGGAAAAGAAGGGUGACCCAAAGGGCAGGAAUUUUUUAUCCUGAACUUUUGAGCCUUAUAGAAAAACAUAAUUUGUUGGGCAUGUUUUCUGACCCUCAUACAGUUUUUACAACCAUUUGAAGAUAUAGUUCUAGCUCUAGUAGGCUCUACAGGAAGGUAUAUCAAACUUUUUAACAGAACACUUUAUUAUUUUAAAUAUAUGAGUAUUUCACCUGCAUAGGCGCACAGUACCCACAGAGACUAGAAGAGGGUGGCAGAUCUCCUGAGACUGGAGUUAAUGCUUGUGAGCUGCCAUGUGGAUGCUGGAAAUCAAACCCAGGUCCUUUGGAAGGCAGGCAGGUGCUCUUAAUCAUGGAAGCAUCUCUUCAGCUCCUACCCUAGUUCUUUAAUUUUGUUUUAAAUUUUUGAGGUAGGGUUUUGCUAAGUUACUUGGGCUGGCCUUGGACUAGUAACCAUUCUGUGUCAGCCUUCUGGGAUUAGAGGUAUGUGCUAGCAUGUCUAGCAUCUUUCUAUUUCUUUGGUUUUCCUUCUAAUUAAUUAAAAAAUACAUUAUCUUCUAAAUCUUUUAUUGUACAUCAUGAAUGCUAUUUCAGUUUUUGUUUAAAUAAGCUUAAAUGUAAACAUCACUAUAAGUACACCACUAUUUCUAUUGUGCAGUUUCAGUGAUACAAUAUCUUAUCACUUACAGAGUAUUAGUAAUAGUUUAAUUUAAAAAAAAUCAUUUAUUGUUGUUUUUUGUCUCACCCCCCUCCCCUCCCCCAAUCUCUGGAGCUGAGGACCAAACCCAGGGCCUUGUGCUUGCUAAGCAAAUGCUCUACCGCUGAGCUAAAUCUCCAACCCCUAGUUUAAUUUUGUUUUAGAAAGACUCUUACUUAAUGUACUUGCUGUGUGUGAUGGUUUGUAUAUUCUUGGACCAGGGAGUGGCAACAUUUGGAGGUGUGGCCUUGUUGGAAUAGGUGUGACCUGGUUGGAGUAGGUGUGUCACUGUGGGUGUGGGUAUGAGACCCUCACCCUAGUUGCCUGGAAGUCAGUCUUCCACUAGCAGCCUUUGGAUGAAGACAUAGAACUCUCAGCUCUUCCUGUGCCAUGCCUGCCUGGAUACUGCCAUGCUCCCACCGUGAUGGUAAUGGACUGAACCUCUGAACCUGUAAGCCAGCCCCAAUUAAAUGUUGUUUUUUAUAAGA